UAACAGGUUUGAACUGAAGAGUUUGAUCCUGGCUCAGAUUGAACGCUGGCGGCAUGCCUUACACAUGCAAGUCGA
rnacentral:rRNA from 1 species